GAUGAACGCUGGCGGCGUGCCUUAUACAUGCAAGUCGAGUGGGUUUAGACCCACGGCAAACGGGUGAGUAACACGUAGGUACUUUCCUUGUCACAGGAAUAACCCUCCGAAAGGAGGGCUAAUACCUGAUGUGAUCGCAAGAUUAAAGGGUAUCCGCAAGGAUUACCGGACAAGAAGAGGCCUGCGGCCUAUCAGCUAGUUGGCGGGGUAAAUGCCCACCAAGGCUAUGACGGGUAGCUGGUCUUAUGAGGAUGAUCAGCCACCUGGGCACUGAGGCACGGGCCCAACUCCUACGGGAGGCAGCAGUAGGGAAUUUUGCGCAAGGGGCGAAAGCCUGACGCAGCGACGCCUCGUGCGGGAUGAAGGCCUUCGGGUCGUAAACCGCUUUUAUAAGGGACGAACUUUGACGGUACCUUAUGAAUAAGAGGUUGCUAACUCUGUG
rnacentral:rRNA from 1 species